ACUUCCAUCUUUAUAUAUAAUAUUCUUGAACCUGUAAACAUCAUAAAAUCUAACGUUAACAAAUCACGCUAUUGUACCGUUUGUAGCUUUCUAUAAAAGACGAAUUUGCAAAUAAAUAAGUGCCAUUAUAUUCCCGCUGGUUGGUGUGUACAAAUAUAAUCGGUUUUCAGUUGCUUUUAUCGUACACUAUUAUUGGCAUUUAUACAAUAUUCUUCUUGCGAAUUGAAUGGUAUACAAGUAAAUCAGACGGUGUGAUUAUAAAUUGCUUUACGCAGGAAAUAACAGAUAUUGUAAAGCGAAUUCUAAAGGAAAUGAACUGUAAGAAAGGAACUGAUGAUACGCCGACGAAAAUAAAUGAAAGCAAAGAAAACGGCAAAGUUUACAACAACGUAACAAUGGCUGUAUAUAUUAUAUACAUAUAUAUAUAUUAUUACAUUUUAUCUGCAAGGACAUGACG